UGCAAGUCGAGGGGCAGCGGAGCGGAGUGCUUGCACUCUGCUGCCGGCGACCGGCGCACGGGUGAGUAACACGUAUGCAACCUGCCCCGGAGCGGGGGAUAACCCGGCGAAAGCCGGACUAAUACCGCGUAUAUAUCCAGGAGGCAUCUUCUGGAUAGGAAAGGACUUCGGUCCGCUCCGGGAUGGGCAUGCGGCGCAUUAGGCAGACGGCGGGGUAACGGCCCACCGUACCGACGAUGCGUAGGGGUUCUGAGAGGAAGGCCCCCCACACUGGUACUGAGACACGGACCAGACUCCUACGGGAGGCAGCAGUGAGGAAUAUUGGUCAAUGGGCGAGAGCCUGAACCAGCCAAGCCGCGUGAGGGAAGAAGGCGCUCAGCGUCGUAAACCUCUUUAGCCGGGGGACAAAACCUCCUCGUGAAGGAGGCUUGAGAGUACCCGGAGAAUAAGCAUCGGCUAACUCCGUGCCAGCAGCCGCGGUAAUACGGAGGAUGCGAGCGUUAUCCGGAUUUAUUGGGUUUAAAGGGUGCGCAGGCGGACAUUCAAGUCUGCGGUCAAAUUCCGGGGCUCAACCCCGGCCAGCCGUGGAAACUGAAUGACUUGAGUGGGCGGGAGGUAUGCGGAAUGCGCGGUGUAGCGGUGAAAUGCUU
rnacentral:rRNA from 1 species